GGCCUGGUAGCGGAUGGUUCUGCGCCCGCACUCGGUAGGUUGGAGUAAGAACGGUUUGCGGGAUGUGCCCGUUCGAUUCGGGCCCGGGCCG